AAUAGAUACCCUGGUAGUCCACGCCGUAAACGAUGAGUGCUAAGUGUUAGGGGGGUUUCCGCCCCUUAGUGCUGCAGCUAACGCAUUAAGCACUCCGCCUGGGGGAGUACGGUCGCAAGACUGAAACUCAAAGGAAUUGACGGGGGGCCCGCACAAGCGGUGGAGCAUGUGGUUUAAUUCGAAGCAACGCGAAGAACCUUACCAGGUCUUGACAUCCCAUUGACCACUAUGGAGACAUAGUUUUCCCUUCGGGGACAACGGUGACAGGUGGUGCAUGGUUGUCGUCAGCUCGUGUCGUGAGAUGUUGGGUUAAGUCCCGCAACGAGCGCAACCCUUGUUCUUAGUUGCCAUCAUUUAGUUGGGCACUCUAAGGAGACUGCCGGUGACAAACCGGAGGAAGGUGGGGAUGACGUCAAAUCAUCAUGCCCCUUAUGACCUGGGCUACACACGUGCUACAAUGGACGGUACAAACGGUUGCCAACCCGCGAGGGGGAGCUAAUCCGAUAAAACCGUUCUCAGUUCGGAUCGUAGGCUGCAACUCGCCUACAUGGAACG
rnacentral:rRNA from 1 species